rnacentral:miRNA from 1 species
UGCGGAGUAGACUGGUCAAAUG